CGGGGCGUAGCGCAGUCUGGUAGCGCACCGCGUUUGGGACGCGGGGGUCGUGGGUUCGAGUCCCUCCGCCCCGACCA
rnacentral:tRNA from 1 species